rnacentral:rRNA from 1 species
GUUGGGAAUAUUGCACAAUGGGGGAAACCCUGAUGCAGCAAUGCCGCGUGAGUGAUGAAGGCCUUCGGGUCGUAAAGCUCUUUUAGCAGGGAAAAAGGGAAACUUGAUGGUACCUGCAGAAAAAGCACCGGCUAACUCUGUGCCAGCAGCCGCGGUAAUACAGAGGGUGCAAGCGUUGUUCGGAAUUAUUGGGCGUAAAGCGCAUGUAGGCGGCUAUCUAAGUCUGGUGUGAAAGCCCGGAGCUUAACUCCGGAAGUGCACUGGAUACUGGAUAGCUAGAGGACGAGAGAGGAAAGUGGAAUUCCUGGUGUAGGGGUGAAAUCCGUAGAUAUCAGGAGGAACAUCGGUGGCGAAGGCGGCUUUCUGGCUCGUAACUGACGCUGAGAUGCGAAAGCGUGGGGAGCAAACAGGAUUAGAAACCCUGGUAGUCC